UAUUCGUUCAGUACCUCUCAGUGUUUCUAAUUGGACCCUAAUUCAGAGUAAACAGCCAUUUGAGGUAGAACAAAGAGGAUGAAGAGAUAAGAGAUGGGGAGAAAGAAGCUGGCCUUCUGUCUUGGAAUGAAAAAAAGGACAAAUACAUGGUCCGUGGGAAAUCUCAGUGAGUCCUUGGGUGUGCCGGGAAGGCAUCAUGCCAACCUCCACCAUCAAUGAGCAAGUACAGCUCUUCUUCUGGAGAAACUUACUAUUGAGCUGGAGUUGAAAACCUGUUAGUUGGGUAAACUUCCAGGAAUACUGACCCAUUGCAUCAUCAGAAUUUCAACAAAAGAUAGUCAUUACACCCAGUCAUUCGUUGACUGUCUUGACUCCUCUUUGUUAACCCCAGUAUUCUCACAUCAGAAGAAACUGCAACUCCAAGGUCCUCAUGCAAACACUAAUUUUUCUGAUGUGCCUCUAAAAAGCAGAACUUGAAGGUAUGAUAGGAGUGUAAUGGGCAGCUAUUUCAUUUCUCAGGAAAGCAGAAGCUGUGUUUGAAUAACAGUUGAGAUAUGGCAAGCAUUUUGCGAGCUCUCAUCCUGCAUUUUAAUAGAUAGAGAAUGCAUUUUCUGUUCUCAGAGGAGCACAGAAAGCUGGUCAGCUACAGAAGCACAGUAACUUAGACUUAGUCUCAAGAAGAACUUACAAUAAAGAGUGUCUCCAUAAUAUCUGCCCCUCAACCUUAGCACUAAAUAAAGAAAAAAAUUAAUUUUUCUUA